UAGGGAAUCUUCGGCAAUGGACGAAAGUCUGACCGAGCAACGCCGCGUGAGUGAAGAAGGUUUUCGGAUCGUAAAACUCUGUUGUUAGAGAAGAACAAGGACGUUAGUAACUGAACGUCCCCUGACGGUAUCUAACCAGAAAGCCACGGCUAACUACGUGCCAGAAGCCGCGGUAAUACGUAGGUGGCAAGCGUUGGCCGGAUUUAUUGGGCGUAAAGCGAGCGCAGGCGGUUUCUUAAGUCUAAUGUGAAAGGCCCCGGCUCAACCGGGGAGGGUCAUUGUAAACUGGGAGACUUAAGUGCAGAAGAGGAGAGUGGAAUUCCAUGUGUAGCGGUGAAUUGCGUUGAUAUAUGGAGGAACACCGGUGGCGAAGGCGGCUCUCUGGUCUGUAACUGACGCUGAGGCUCGAAGGCGUGGGGGGCAAACAGG
rnacentral:rRNA from 1 species